UACGUAGGGGGCUAGCGUUAUCCGGAAUUACUGGGCGUAAAGGGUGCGUAGGUGGUUUCUUAAGUCAGAGGUGAAAGGCUACGGCUCAACCGUAGUAAGCCUUUGAAACUGGGAAACUUGAGUGCAGGAGAGGUUAUCGGAAUUCCCGGUGUAGCGGUGAAAUGCGUAGAGAUCGGGAGGAACACCAGUGGCGAAGGCGGGUAACUGGACUGCAACUGACGCUGAGGCGCGAAAGUGUGGGGAGCAAACAGGAUUAGAUACCCUGGUAGUCCCUGAGCGGGCUGG
rnacentral:rRNA from 1 species